GACGAACGCUGGCGGCGUGCUUAACACAUGCAAGUCGAACGGAAAGGCCCUGCUUGCAGGGUGCUCGAGUGGCGAACGGGUGAGUAACACGUGGGCGAUCUGCCCCUUACUUUGGGAUAAGCCUGGGAAACUGGGUCUAAUACUGGAUAGGACCAUGCUGUAGGUGGUGUGGUGGAAAGAUUAGUUUCGGUAAGGGAUGAGCUCGCGGCCUAUCAGCUUGUUGGUGGGGUAAUGGCCUACCAAGGCGUCGACGGGUAGCCGGCCUGAGAGGGUGGACGGCCACAUUGGGACUGAGAUACGGCCCAGACUCCUACGGGAGGCAGCAGUGGGGAAUAUUGCACAAUGGGUGCAAGCCUGAUGCAGCGACGCCGCGUGGGGGAUGACGGCCUUCGGGUUGUAAACUCCUUUCAGCCAUGACGAAGCCCUUGUGGUGACGGUAGUGGUAGAAGAAGCACCGGCUAACUACGUG
rnacentral:rRNA from 1 species